GGGUCGUUAGCUCAGUUGGUAGAGUACUCGGCUACGAACCGAGCGGUCGGAGGUUCGAAUCCUCCCGGAUGCACCA
rnacentral:tRNA from 1 species